GAUGAACGCUGGCGGCGUGCCUAAUACAUGCAAGUCGAGCGAACAGAUGAGGAGCUUGCUCCUCUGACGUUAGCGGCGGACGGGUGAGUAACACGUGGAUAACCUACCUAUAAGACUGGGAUAACUUCGGGAAACCGGAGCUAAUACCGGAUAAUAUAUUGAACCGCAUGGUUCAAUAGUGAAAGACGGUUUUGCUGUCACUUAUAGAUGGAUCCGCGCCGCAUUAGCUAGUUGGUAAGGUAACGGCUUACCAAGGCAACGAUGCGUAGCCGACCUGAGAGGGUGAUCGGACACACUGGAACUGAGACACGGUCCAGACUCCUACGGGAGGCAGCAGUAGGGAAUCUUCCGCAAUGGGCGAAAGCCUGACGGAGCAACGCCGCGUGAGUGAUGAAGGUCUUCGGAUCGUAAAACUCUGUUAUUAGGGAAGAACAAAUGUGUAAGUAACUAUGCACGUCUUGACGGUACCUAAUCAGAAAGCCACGGUUAACUACGUG
rnacentral:rRNA from 1 species